rnacentral:rRNA from 1 species
AGACCCGAAACCCGGUGAUCUAGCCAUGGGCAGGUUGAAGGUUGGGUAACACUAACUGGAGGACCGAACCGACUAAUGUUGAAAAAUUAGCGGAUGACCUGUGGCUGGGGGUGAAAGGCCAAUCAAACCGGGAGAUAGCUGGUUCUCCCCGAAAGCUAUUUAGGUAGCGCCUCGUGAAUUCAUCUCCGGGGGUAGAGCACUGUUUCGGCUAGGGGGCCAUCCCGGCUUACCAACCCGAUGCAAACUGCGAAUACCGGAGAAUGUUAUCACGGGAGACACACGGCGGGUGCUAACGUCCGUCGUGAAGAGGGAAACAACCCAGACCGCCAGCUAAGGUCCCAAAGUCAUGGUUAAGUGGGAAACGAUGUGGGAAGGCCCAGACAGCCAGGAUGUUGGCUUAGAAGCAGCCAUCAUUUAAAGAAAGCGUAAUAGCUCACUGGUCGAGUCGGCCUGCGCGGAAGAUGUAACGGGGCUAAACCAUGCACCGAAGCUGCGGCAGCGACACUGUGUGUUGUUGGGUAGGGGAGCGUUCUGUAAGCCUGUGAAGGUGUGUCGUGAGGCAUGCUGGAGGUAUCAGAAGUGCGAAUGCUGACAUAAGUAACGAUAAAGCGGGUGAAAAGCCCGCUCGCCGGAAGACCAAGGGUUCCUGUCCAACGUUAAUCGGGGCAGGGUGAGUCGACCCCUAAGGCGAGGCCGAAAGGCGUAGUCGAUGGGAAACGGGUUAAUAUUCCCGUACUUGGUGUUACUGCGAAGGGGGGACGGAGAAGGCUAUGUUGGCCGGGCGACGGUUGUCCCGGUUUAAGCGUGUAGGUGUGUGUUCCAGGUAAAUCCGGUUCACUUUAACACUGAGGCGUGACGACGAGGCACUACGGUGCUGAAGCAACAAAUGCCCUGCUUCCAGGAAAAGCCUCUAAGCAUCAGGUAACAUCAAAUCGUACCCCAAACCGACACAGGUGGUCAGGUAGAGAAUACCAAGGCGCUUGAGAGAACUCGGGUGAAGGAACUAGGCAAAAUGGUGCCGUAACUUCGGGAGAAGGCACGCUGACACGUAGGUGAAGUGAUUUACUCAUGGAGCUGAAGUCAGUCGAAGAUACCAGCUGGCUGCAACUGUUUAUUAAAAACACAGCACUGUGCAAACACGAAAGUGGACGUAUACGGUGUGACGCCUGCCCGGUGCCGGAAGGUUAAUUGAUGGGGUCAGCGCAAGCGAAGCUCCUGAUCGAAGCCCCGGUAAACGGCGGCCGUAACUAUAACGGUCCUAAGGUAGCGAAAUUCCUUGUCGGGUAAGUUCCGACCUGCACGAAUGGCGUAAUGAUGGCCAGGCUGUCUCCACCCGAGACUCAGUGAAAUUGAACUCGCUGUGAAGAUGCAGUGUACCCGCGGCAAGACGGAAAGACCCCGUGAACCUUUACUAUAGCUUGACACUGAACAUUGAGCCUUGAUGUGUAGGAUAGGUGGGAGGCUUUGAAGUGUGGACGCCAGUCUGCAUGGAGCCGACCUUGAAAUACCACCCUUUAAUGUUUGAUGUUCUAACGUGGACCCGUUACCCGGGUUGCGGACAGUGUCUGGUGGGUAGUUUGACUGGGGCGGUCUCCUCCUAAAGAGUAACGGAGGAGCACGAAGGUUGGCUAAUCCUGGUCGGACAUCAGGAGGUUAGUGCAAUGGCAUAAGCCAGCUUGACUGCGAGCGUGACGGCGCGAGCAGGUGCGAAAGCAGGUCAUAGUGAUCCGGUGGUUCUGAAUGGAAGGGCCAUCGCUCAACGGAUAAAAGGUA